rnacentral:rRNA from 1 species
CUAAUCUGCGAUAAGCGCCGGUAAGGUGAUAUGAACCGUUAUAACCGGCGAUACCCGAAUGGGGAAACCCAGUGUGAUUCGUCACACUAUCAUUAACUGAAUCCAUAGGUUAAUGAGGCGAACCGGGGGAACUGAAACAUCUAAGUACCCCGAGGAAAAGAAAUCAACCGAGAUUCCCCCAGUAGCGGCGAGCGAACGGGGAGGAGCCCAGAGCCUGAAUCAGCAUGUGUGUUAGUGGAAGCGUCUGGAAAGGCGCGCGAUACAGGGUGACAGCCCCGUACACAAAAGCGCAUGUGCUGUGAGCUCGAUGAGUAGGGCGGGACACGUGGUAUCCUGUCUGAAUAUGGGGGGACCAUCCUCCAAGGCUAAAUACUCCUGACUGACCGAUAGUGAACCAGUACCGUGAGGGAAAGGCGAAAAGAACCCCGGCGAGGGGAGUGAAAAAGAACCUGAAACCGUGUACGUACAAGCAGUGGGAGCACCCUUUGGGUGUGACUGCGUACCUUUUGUAUAAUGGGUCAGCGACUUAUAUUCUGUAGCAAGGUUAACCGAAUAGGGGAGCCGGAGGGAAACCGAGUCUUAACCGGGCGUUAAGUUGCAGGGUAUAGACCCGAAACCCGGUGAUCUAGCCAUGGGCAGGUUGAAGGUUGGGUAACACUAACUGGAGGACCGAACCGACUAAUGUUGAAAAAUUAGCGGAUGACCUGUGGCUGGGGGUGAAAGGCCAAUCAAACCGGGAGAUAGCUGGUUCUCCCCGAAAGCUAUUUAGGUAGCGCCUCGUGAAUUCAUCUCCGGGGGUAGAGCACUGUUUCGGCUAGGGGGCCAUCCCGGCUUACCAACCCGAUGCAAACUGCGAAUACCGGAGAAUGUUAUCACGGGAGACACACGGCGGGUGCUAACGUCCGUCGUGAAGAGGGAAACAACCCAGACCGCCAGCUAAGGUCCCAAAGUCAUGGUUAAGUGGGAAACGAUGUGGGAAGGCCCAGACAGCCAGGAUGUUGGCUUAGAAGCAGCCAUCAUUUAAAGAAAGCGUAAUAGCUCACUGGUCGAGUCGGCCUGCGCGGAAGAUGUAACGGGGCUAAACCAUGCACCGAAGCUGCGGCAGCGACACUGUGUGUUGUUGGGUAGGGGAGCGUUCUGUAAGCCUGUGAAGGUGUGUCGUGAGGCAUGCUGGAGGUAUCAGAAGUGCGAAUGCUGACAUAAGUAACGAUAAAGCGGGUGAAAAGCCCGCUCGCCGGAAGACCAAGGGUUCCUGUCCAACGUUAAUCGGGGCAGGGUGAGUCGACCCCUAAGGCGAGGCCGAAAGGCGUAGUCGAUGGGAAACGGGUUAAUAUUCCCGUACUUGGUGUUACUGCGAAGGGGGGACGGAGAAGGCUAUGUUGGCCGGGCGACGGUUGUCCCGGUUUAAGCGUGUAGGUGUGUGUUCCAGGUAAAUCCGGUUCACUUUAACACUGAGGCGUGACGACGAGGCACUACGGUGCUGAAGCAACAAAUGCCCUGCUUCCAGGAAAAGCCUCUAAGCAUCAGGUAACAUCAAAUCGUACCCCAAACCGACACAGGUGGUCAGGUAGAGAAUACCAAGGCGCUUGAGAGAACUCGGGUGAAGGAACUAGGCAAAAUGGUGCCGUAACUUCGGGAGAAGGCACGCUGACACGUAGGUGAAGUGAUUUACUCAUGGAGCUGAAGUCAGUCGAAGAUACCAGCUGGCUGCAACUGUUUAUUAAAAACACAGCACUGUGCAAACACGAAAGUGGACGUAUACGGUGUGACGCCUGCCCGGUGCCGGAAGGUUAAUUGAUGGGGUCAGCGCAAGCGAAGCUCCUGAUCGAAGCCCCGGUAAACGGCGGCCGUAACUAUAACGGUCCUAAGGUAGCGAAAUUCCUUGUCGGGUAAGUUCCGACCUGCACGAAUGGCGUAAUGAUGGCCAGGCUGUCUCCACCCGAGACUCAGUGAAAUUGAACUCGCUGUGAAGAUGCAGUGUACCCGCGGCAAGACGGAAAGACCCCGUGAACCUUUACUAUAGCUUGACACUGAACAUUGAGCCUUGAUGUGUAGGAUAGGUGGGAGGCUUUGAAGUGUGGACGCCAGUCUGCAUGGAGCCGACCUUGAAAUACCACCCUUUAAUGUUUGAUGUUCUAACGUGGACCCGUUACCCGGGUUGCGGACAGUGUCUGGUGGGUAGUUUGACUGGGGCGGUCUCCUCCUAAAGAGUAACGGAGGAGCACGAAGGUUGGCUAAUCCUGGUCGGACAUCAGGAGGUUAGUGCAAUGGCAUAAGCCAGCUUGACUGCGAGCGUGACGGCGCGAGCAGGUGCGAAAGCAGGUCAUAGUGAUCCGGUGGUUCUGAAUGGAAGGGCCAUCGCUCAACGGAUAAAAGGUACUCCGGGGAUAACAGGCUGAUACCGCCCAAGAGUUCAUAUCGACGGCGGUGUUUGGCACCUCGAUGUCGGCUCAUCACAUCCUGGGGCUGAAGUAGGUCCCAAGGGUAUGGCUGUUCGCCAUUUAAAGUGGUACGCGAGCUGGGUUUAGAACGUCGUGAGACAGUUCGGUCCCUAUCUGCCGUGGGCGCUGGAGAACUGAGGGGGGCUGCUCCUAGUACGAGAGGACCGGAGUGGACGCAUCACUGGUGUUCGGGUUGUCAUGCCAAUGGCACUGCCCGGUAGCUAAAUGCGGAAGAGAUAAGUGCUGAAAGCAUCUAAGCACGAAACUUGCCCCGA